rnacentral:lncRNA from 10 species
UAGAAGGAAAAGAGGUAAAUUAGAGGCAGGUGGAACAUGAGCAGGGCCAUGGGGUGGGUGGAAGGGAUCUAGGCUCAGCUACUUCCUGGUUGUAUAACGUCAGGCAAACUCCUUCACCUAGUAGUGCCUCUGUGAGAAAUGGGCAUAAUGUUACCGGUACCUCAUAUAUUUGCUAUAAAGAUUAGGUAACACUAUAACAAGGCUGGACUAGCUGGAGUUAAUACUUAAAAACAAUAGGAGAAAAACUUCCCUCCCAUAUCUUAGAGAAAAUGCAGUUAUCAAAGGUGGAAUCGGAAACACCAGGCUCCUAGUGCCACGGAAAUGGCUUGGCUGCCCCGGAAGCCUAAGACAGCUCAGGCUUACUCCUCCUCCUCCAUGUUUAUGCUUAAAUGUCAUGUCACCUCAGUGAGGCCUGCUCUGACGACCAUAUUUAAAAUUGCAACUGGUACCCUGAACAAUCGUCUUUACUUGUCUUGACUCUUUUUCCAUAGCAUCUGCCACAUUCUAAUAUUCAAUAUAGUUUACUUAUUGUAUCUACUGUAUGAUACAGUAGAUACCAUGCUAGAAUCUAUGUUCUAUGAGGGUAAGCACCUUUAUUUUGUUCGCUGCUGUAACCCAAGUGUUUAGAACUGUACCUAGCACACAGUAGGCAUUCAAUACU